CCUACGGGAGGCAGCAGUGAGGAAUAUUGGUCAAUGGACGAGAGUCUGAACCAGCCAAGUAGCGUGAAGGAUGACUGCCCUAUGGGUUGUAAACUUCUUUUAUAUGGGAAUAAAACGUUCCACGUGUGGGAUUUUGUAUGUACCAUAUGAAUAAGGAUCGGCUAACUCCGUGCCAGCAGCCGCGGUAAUACGGAGGAUCCGAGCGUUAUCCGGAUUUAUUGGGUUUAAAGGGAGCGUAGGUGGAUUGUUAAGUCAGUUGUGAAAGUUUGCGGCUCAACCGUAAAAUUGCAGUUGAAACUGGCAGUCUUGAGUACAGUAGAGGUGGGCGGAAUUCGUGGUGUAGCGGUGAAAUGCUGAGAUAUCACGAAGAACUCCGAUUGCGAAGGCAGUUCACUGGACUGCAACUGACACUGAGGCUCGAAAGUGUGGGUAUCAAACAGGAUUAGAUACGCCUGUAGUC
rnacentral:rRNA from 1 species